UUUCCCAGUUGACUACCACACUUUCUCCUAAUAGAUUUUAGUGGCCAUGCUUAUUGGAUAGAUGGAAGGUGCUGUGAUCUGAAGAGGAAAGACCUUUUAAUGCCCUCCCUCUAUAUGAAAUGGCUGAACAGAAAAGA